rnacentral:rRNA from 1 species
AUUGAACGCUGGCGGCAUGCCUAACACAUGCAAGUCGAACGGUAGCAGGAGCUAGCUUGCUAGCUUGCUGACGAGUGGCGGACGGGUGAGUAAUGCGUAGGAAUCUGCCCUUAAGUGGGGGAUAGCCCGGAGAAAUUCGGAUUAAUACCGCAUGUGCUCUACGGAGCAAAGCGGGCCUCUGUUUCAAGCUCGCGCUUGAGGAUGAGCCUACGUCGGAUUAGCUAGUUGGUGGGGUAAAGGCCUACCAAGGCGACGAUCCGUAGCUGGUCUGAGAGGAUGACCAGCCACACUGGGACUGAGACACGGCCCAGACUCCUACGGGAGGCAGCAGUGGGGAAUAUUGGACAAUGGGCGAAAGCCUGAUCCAGCAAUGCCGCGUGUGUGAAGAAGGCCUGCGGGUUGUAAAGCACUUUUGUCGGGAAAGAA